GAAAUUCCAAUCGAACCCGGAGAUAGCUGGUUCUCCCCGAAAUAGCUUUAGGGCUAGCGUCGAGAGAAGAGUUGCGUGAAGGUAGAGCACUGAAUAUGUGAUGGCCCCAUCUCGGGGUACUGAGCAUAAUCAAACUGCGAAUGUCACGCCAACAUGCUCGGCAGUCAGACAGCGGGUGAUAAGGUCCGUUGUCAAGAGGGAAACAGCCCAGACCAUCAGCUAAGGUCCCAAAAUGUAUGCUAAGUGGAAAAGGAUGUGGAGAUGUACAGACAACUAGGAGGUUGGCUCAGAAGCAGCCAUCCUUUAAAGAGUGCGUAACAGCUCACUAGUCGAAUGACUCUGCGCCGAUAAUUUACCGGGGCUAAGCAUACUACCGAAGCUAUGGAUCCCAAGGGAUGGUAGGGGAGCGUUCCAUGAACGGAGAAGUACGACCGAAAGGACGUGUGGAGAUCAUGGAAGAGAGAAUGCCGGUGUGAGUAGCGGAACGUGGGUGAGAAUCCCACGCACCGAAAACCCAAGGUUUCCAGAGGAAGGUUCGUCCGCUCUGGGUAAGUCGGGACCUAAGGCGAGGCCGAAAGGCGUAGUCGAUGGACAACAGGUAGAGAUUCCUGUACCCGUAUAUAUGUGAAGGAAUGACGGAGAGAGGAAGCUGCAGCCAGCGGCUGGAAGAGCUGGUGCAAGCGAGAUAUCGGGAUGGCAGGCAAAUCCACCAUCCGAAACGAGAAGGCGUGAAGCGUACGGAAAGCUACGGCGAGUACGGAAGGCAGUGGAGGAACUUCCAAGAAAAGUUUCUAACGUUAAGUAUAUAUGGCCCGUACCGAAAAUGGACACACAUGGGUGAGGAGAGAAUCCUAAGGUGAGCGAGAGAACUAUAGCUAAGGAACUCUGCAAAAUGACUCCGUAACUUAGGGAGAAGGAGUGCUCAUAGAGAUAUGAGCCGCAGUGAAACGGCCCAAGCGACUGUUUACCAAAAACACAGCUCUCUGCUAAGCCGCAAGGCGAAGUAUAGGGGGUGACGCCUGCCCGGUGCUGGAAGGUUAAGGGGAGGGGUUAACGCAAGUGAAGCCCUGAACUGAAGCCCCAGUAAACGGCGGCCGUAACUAUAACGGUCCUAAGGUAGCGAAAUUCCUUGUCAGGUAAGUUCUGACCCGCACGAAAGGCGUAACGAUUUGGGCGCUGUCUCAGCUGUAGACUCGGUGAAGUCUUAGUACCUGUGAAGAUGCAGGUUACCCGCGACUAGACGGAAAGACCCCAUGGAGCUUCACUGCAGGUUGAUAUUGGGAUUUGAUGCAGCAUGUACAGGAUAGGUAGGAGGCAAAGAGAUGGAUACGCCAGUAUUCAAGGAGCCGCUGUUGGGAUACUACCCCUGUUGUAUUGGAUUUCUAACCGGACGACGUAGAGCCGUUGACGGGACAGUGUCAGUCGGGCAGUUUGACUGGGGCGGUCGCCUCCCAAAGAGUAACGGAGGCGCCCAAAGAUACCCUCAGCUUGGAUGGAAACCAAGCGCAGAGUGCAAAGGCAAAAGGGUGUUUGACUGCGAGACC
rnacentral:rRNA from 1 species